ensembl:misc_RNA Metazoa_SRP Metazoan signal recognition particle RNA
GCUGGAUAUGGUGGUGCGUGCCUGUAAUUCUAGCUACAUGGUAGGCUGAGGUGAGAGGAUCACUUGAGCCCAGGAGUUCAAGGCUGCAGUGAGCUGUGAUUGCACCACUGCACUCCAGCCUGGGCGACAGAGUGACACCCUGUCUCUU